AAACUGAAGAGUUUGAUCAUGGCUCAGAUUGAACGUUGGCGGCAGGCUUAACCCAUGCAAGUCGGACGAGAAAGCACCUUCGGGUGUGAGUAAAGUGGCGGACGGGUGAGUAACGCGUAGGAAUCUACCCAGUAGUAGGGGACAACUCGAGGAAACUCGAGCUAAUACCGUAUACGUUCCUGGUAACAGGAAGAAAGAGGGCCUCU
rnacentral:rRNA from 1 species